rnacentral:rRNA from 1 species
GUGGGGAAUAUUGGACAAUGGGGGCAACCCUGAUCCAGCAAUGCCGCGUGGGUGAUGAAGGCCUUCGGGUUGUAAAGCCCUUUUGGCGGGGACGAUGAUGACGGUACCCGCCGAAUAAGCUCCGGCUAACUUCGUGCCAGCAGCCGCGGUAAUACGAAGGGAGCUAGCGUUGUUCGGAAUUACUGGGCGUAAAGGGCGCGUAGGCGGUUUCGAUAGUCGGGCGUGAAAUCCCCAGGCUCAACUUGGGAAUUGCGUUCGAUACUGCGAGACUUGAGUGAGGGAGAGGAUAGUGGAAUUCCCAGUGUAGAGGUGAAAUUCGUAGAUAUUGGGAAGAACACCAGUGGCGAAGGCGGCUAUCUGGACCUCAACUGACGCUGAGGCGCGAAAGCGUGGGGAGCAAACAGGAUUAGAAACCCUGGUAGUCC